rnacentral:rRNA from 1 species
UACGAAGGUCCCAAGCGUUGUUCGGAAUCACUGGGCGUAAAGGGAGCGUAGGCGGCGUGGUAAGUCAGAUGUGAAAUCCCGGGGCUCAACCCCGGAACUGCAUCCGAUACUGCCAUGCUUGAGGGUUGGAGAGGUAGCUGGAAUUCUCGGUGUAGCAGUGAAAUGCGUGGAUAUCUGGAGGAACACCGGUGGCGAAGGCGGCAUCCUGGACCGACACUGACGCUGAGGAGCGAAAGCCAGGGGAGCAAACGGG